UGUGAAUAUUAUAGUCAGUACUAUAAACUUGACUAGUGAUGAGCGUACGGAAGAAGGCCUUGGCGAGCUUCCCAGAGCAAAUACAAGGACACCAGAGUCCAUCUCGGGUUCCAGUUGUUUUGUGCCGCCAUAUGCGAGAAAUGACACCAACCAAGCUCUAAGGGCAGAAAAAAAAUGUUAAACGUGAGCAGACCAUGACACCGACGUGGCCACUCCCAUAGAGGAUAGGUCGCCCUGAGAGACCACCCCGUGAACAGAGUGAGAAAAGUUCAUCGCAGAAACAAGAGGGACAGAAGUUCAAGCGACGGGAGAGAGAGAAAAACAAAAUUUGGUAGUAAAGUGAGAGUCAGAAUAUAAAAUAUACGAGGAUAAAUAUAUUCGGCUUUAAACAAGUUUGCUCGCAUGCGCUCCCAUGCCUCUUAUUUCGUUUCUGUAAUAGAAACUAACUCAGUAGCAACUAACAGAAAAUAAACUCAAAAUAGUUUCACAUUCUGAAAGUCCAUAACUGCGGCAGAGGAAAGUUCGCCAUUCUACACAACACUAUUCAGAGCACACCUUUAGCCUUCCUUGGAUAAAGGGAGACUAAGUGAAUGAGGCUCCGGGAUCUGAGGAAAAGGCCUGCCUGGCGAGCGCUGUGUAUCUGCCAGGAGGAAAGCGGACGGCGGGAGGGUCGGAUUUCGGGUGUUGCCUUGAGCCUUGCGUCUGAUUCCACGAAAGGAAGCACAAAUCACAAACGGCUGAAGCGAGAGAGCCAACGGCUGUGAGAUCGCCAGACAACAAGUGAUCAACAUCACGAGCGUCGUCAUGAAAAGGAGAUGAAUGUGUUUCUUGUUUCAAUUUUCUAAAAUAAUAAUAAUAAUAAUAAUAUUUAUCUGUAUAUUUGUGUAUACCUGUGGGUAGGUCU